rnacentral:rRNA from 1 species
CCUACGGGUGGCUGCAGUGGGGAAUAUUGGGCAAUGGGCGCAAGCCUGACCCAGCAACGCCGCGUGAAGGAAGAAGGUCUUCGGAUUGUAAACUUUUUUGACAGGGGACGAACAAUGACGGUACCCUGAAAACAAGCCACGGCUAACUACGUGCCAGCAGCCGCGGUAAUACGUAGGUGGCAAGCGUUAUCCGGAUUUACUGGGUGUAAAGGGUGAGUAGGCGGGGAAACAAGUCAGAUGUGAAAUGCAAAGGCUUAACCUUUGAACUGCAUUUGAAACUGUUUUUCUUGAGAGUCGGAGAGGUAAUCGGAAUUCCCAGUGUAGCGGUGAAAUGCGCAGAGAUUGGGAGGAACACCAGUGGCGAAGGCGGAUUACUGGACGACAACUGACGCUGAUGCACGAAAGCGUGGGGAGCAAACAGGCUUAGAUACCCGGGUAGUC